rnacentral:rRNA from 1 species
UGGGGAAUUUUGGACAAUGGGCGCAAGCCUGAUCCAGCCAUGCCGCGUGAGUGAAGAAGGCCUUCGGGUUGUAAAGCUCUUUCGCGAGGGAAGAAAAGAUACGGGUUAAUAACCCGUGUUCAUGACGGUACCUUGAUAAGAAGCACCGGCUAACUACGUGCCAGCAGCCGCGGUAAUACGUAGGGUGCGAGCGUUAAUCGGAAUUACUGGGCGUAAAGCGUGCGCAGGCGGUUUGUUAAGUCAGAUGUGAAAGCCCCGGGCUCAACCUGGGAACUGCGUUUGAAACUGGCAAGCUAGAGUUUGGGAGAGGGAGGUAGAAUUCCACGUGUAGCAGUGAAAUGCGUAGAUAUGUGGAGGAACACCGAUGGCGAAGGCAGCCUCCUGGCCCAAAACUGACGCUCAUGCACGAAAGCGUGGGGAGCAAACAG